rnacentral:rRNA from 1 species
UACGUAGGCAGCGAGCGUUGUUCGGAGUUACUGGGCGUAAAGCGUGCGUAGGCGGUUUUGUAAGUUUGGUGUGAAAGUCGGGGGCUCAACCCUCGGAUGCCGGUGGAUACUGUCGGGCUUGAGUACGGAAGAGGCGAGUGGAAUUCCUGGUGUAGCGGUGAAAUGCGCAGAUAUCAGGAGGAACACCAAUUGCGAAGGCAGCUCGCUGGGACGUUACUGACGCUGAGACGCGAAAGCGUGGGGAGCAAACAGG